AAUUUGCUGGGGGCAAAUAAAAUGAAUAUGGGCGUCGAUCGCGCCCGCCGUUAAGAUUUGACCUUCGCCGGCAAUAACCUCGGUACAGGGGCCAAUAAUAAUGUCGAUAUCUGGCUGAAUGUCGGGAUUCCCCGCCUUGCCGAUAGCAACAAUACGGCCAGCUUUAAUCGCGACGUCAGCUUUAACGACACCCCAGUGAUCUAAAAUCAGCGCAUUGGUAAUCACCGUGUCUGGGGUGAAUUCGCGUCCUAGCUGGCUUUGCCCCAUACCGUCGCG
rnacentral:sRNA from 1 species